rnacentral:rRNA from 1 species
UCGGACGGCCAUAGGGGUGUGGUUCACCUGGUCUCAUUUCGAACCCAGAAGUUAAGCACAUCUCCGUUUUUGGUUGUACUGUACUUCUGUACGGGAACCCAAGAAAGCUGUCCGCU